rnacentral:rRNA from 1 species
AUAGUAUCUGUGGAUUAAAGGUGGCUUUUGGGCUGUCGCAGAUGGAUGAGCCUGCGUUGGAUUAGCUAGUUGGUGGGGUAAGGGCCUACCAAGGCUACGAUCCAUAGCUGAUUUGAGAGGAUGAUCAGCCACAUUGGGACUGAGACACGGCCCAAACUCCUACGGGAGGCAGCAGUGAGGAAUAUUGGACAAUGGGGGCAACCCUGAUCCAGCAAUGCCAUGUGUGUGAAGAAGGCCUUAGGGUUGUAAAGCACUUUAGUUGGGGAAGAAAGCUUUGAGGUUAAUAGCCUUGAGGAAAAGGACGUUACCCAAAGAAUAAGCACCGGCUAACUCCGUGCCAGCAGCCGCGGUAAUACGGGGGGUGCAAGCGUUAAUCGGAAUUACUGGGCGUAAAGGGUCUGUAGGUGGUUUGUUAAGUCAGAUGUGAAAGCCUAGGGCUCAACCUUGGAACUGCAUUUGAUACUGGUAAACUAGAGUACGGUAGAGGAAUGGGGAAUUUCUGGUGUAGCGGUGAAAUGCGUAGAGAUCAGAAGGAACACCAAUGGCGAAGGCAACAUUCUGGACCGAUACUGACACUGAGGGACGAAAGCGUGGGGAUCAAACAGGAUUAGAUACCCUGGUAGUCCACGCUGUAAACGAUGAGUACUAGCUGUUGGAGUCGGUGUAAAGGCUCUAGUGGCGCAGCUAACGCGAUAAGUACUCCGCCUGGGGACUACGGCCGCAAGGCUAAAACUCAAAGGAAUUGACGGGGACCCGCACAAGCGGUGGAGCAUGUAGUUUAAUUCGAUGCAACGCGAAGAACCUUACCUGGUCUUGACAUCCUGCAAUCUUUCUAGAGAUAGAUUGGUGCCUUCGGGAACGCAGUGACAGGUGCUGCACGGCUGUCGUCAGCUCGUGUUGUGAAAUGUUGGGUUAGGUCCC